GAGCCUUGCAGCCCUCACCUUCCACCUUCGAUGCAAGAAAGCUGAUCUAGCCUCAUGGCCCCUGAGAGUCCAUGUGGCCUUAGGACCUGGCCAACAACCAGCACCAACAACUCGGCAUGUGAUCAAUUCACUCCUUAGAGCCUGCACGUCAGGGUGGAGGUCUAGCCACACUUGCCCUUGUGUGUGAGUAAGAGGAGACUCACGGCUCCCCAGGCAACAACUAGCAUCACCUGGUCGAUAUGGGGAGAGAACAGUUUGGGUCUUCAGGCCAGCUGACCUUCCAGUUGCCCUCAGCUGCACGAGUGAGCCCCAAAAAACCAGCAGAGAGACCACCAGCCCCCUCAGAAUCAUGGGAAGUAACAAACUGAUAUAUUGUAAACCUUUGCUUUUUGGGGUGCUCUGUUCUGCUAGAAUAAAUAACAGAACUGUCAUCUUUAAA